CGGGAUCUCGGCUCACUGCAAGCUCCUCCUCCUGGAUUCACGCCAUUCUCCUGCCUCAGCCUCCCGAGUAGCUGGGACUACAGGCGCCCGCAACCACGCACGGCUGAUUUUUUUUGUAUUUUUAGUAGAGACGGAGUUUCAUCGUGUUAGCCAGGAUGGUCUCGAUCUCCUGACCUCGUGAUCCGCCCGUCUCGGCCUCCCAAAGUGCUGGGAUUACAGGCGUGAGCCAUUGCGCCCUGCCGAGAAAGAUUUUCUAUUCCUGGUGGAUCCGAGGAGACAGAAAGCUUUUCAAGGGCAAAUGCCUGCCUUGUAUAAAUAUGAAUAACUUCUUAAAGAAGUUACCCUUCUUUAGUUAAGAACUCACUGUGAUGUUAUGUAAAAAGAAUUUGUCUAACAUUCAGAAGGUCUGAGUUUGGGUUACACAGUUAGUAAAUAGUGGUCCACUAAUUCUUUUUUUUCUUUCUUUCUGAGACGGAGUUUCGCUCUGUCUCCCAGGCUGCAGUGCGGUGGCGCGAUCUCGGCUCACUGCAAACUCCGCCUCCCGGGUUCACGCCAUUUUCCUGCCUCAGCCUCCUGAGUAGCUGGGACUACAGGCGCCCGCCACCACGCCCGGCUAAUUUUUUGUAUUUUUAGUAGAGACAGGGUUUUACCGUGUUCGCCAAGAUGGUCUCGAUCUCCUGACCUCUUCGUCCGCCCGCCUUGGCCUCCCAAAGUGCUGGGAUUAGAGGCGUGAGCCACCGCGCCCGGCCGGUCCACUAAUUCUUUUAAACUCUGUAAGGCAUUUUUUUUUCCUGUUUAAAUAUAUAUCGACAUUAGAUAGCUUUGGCUGUGGCAAAGAGGACCUGCUAUUGUAGGUCUGUGGGCUGGCAGUGACUGGGCGGGGCUCAUCUGAGAUUGGCGGGGCUCGGCUCUGUGCCAUGUACUGUCUCAUUCCGGAACAUGGACGGAAGGCGGGGUCGCUGUUGGGCAUGCUGUUCUCAGGAGGGCAAGCAAAGCUCUGGGGCACUGCUUCUGAAAGCCUCUGCUCACAAUCGGCAGCUGACACCUGCAGACAAUCUCCACUGUUGCAAGAUGUCCCUCUUCAUGGAGAGCUGCCUGAAGCUGAGAAGGGUGCGACGGACCUGAAGGCUGCACAGCGCCGGGUCUUACCCAAGGCUCAAGGUGACCGCUGCCUGGUUUCUGCUGGUGUUUAUUCAAAGCCCAAGGGCUCUCCAGUCAGCAAGUGGUGAAUCUAGUCAGACAUGUGUCCUACGCUUCAGGGCAAUGAGCUUCCCCUCAGCCUAAGAGCCUCCUUGCAACAGUUUGCUGAGAAUGAUGGUUUCCAGCUUCAUCCAUGUCCCUACAAAGAUAUGAACUCAUCAUUUUUUAUGGCUGCAUAGUAUUCCAUUGUGUAUAUGUGCCACAUUUUCUUAAUCCAGUCUAUCAUUGUUGGACAUUUGGUUAGUUCCAAGUCUUUGCUAUUGUGAAUAGUGCCGCAAUAAACAUGUGUGCAUGUGUCUUUAUAGCAGCAUGAUUUAUAAUCCUUUGGGUAUAUACCCAGUAAUGGGAUGGCUGGGUCAAAUGGUAUUUCUAGUUCUAGAUCCCUGAGGAAUCGCCACACUGACUUCCACAACGGUUGAACUAGUUUACAGUCCCACCAACAGUGGAAAAGUGUUUCUAUUUCUCCACAUCCUCUCCAGCACCUGUUGUUUCCUGACUUUUUAAUGAUUGCCAUUCUAACUGGUGUGAGAUGGUAUCUCAUUGUGG
rnacentral:lncRNA from 1 species